UGCGUAGGCGGUCGGAUAAGUUUGAUGUGAAAUCUCCGGGCUUAACCCGGAAACUGCAUUGAAUACUAUUCGGCUUGAGGUCUGGAGGGGGGACGUGGAAUUCUCGGUGUAGCAGUGAAAUGCGUAGAUAUCGAGAGGAACACCAGUGGCGAAGGCGAGUCCCUGGACAGGUCCUGACGCUGGGGCACGAAAGCUAGGGGAGCAAACA
rnacentral:rRNA from 1 species